rnacentral:rRNA from 1 species
CUGGUGCCAGCAGCCGCGGUAAUUCCAGCUCCAAUAGCGUAUAUUAAAGUUGUUGCAGUUAAAAAGCUCGUAGUUGAAUUUCGGGAUCAAUNCGUCGGUCGUGCCUCCGGUAUGUACUGGCGUUGUUGGUUUCUCCUUUCUGAGGAGCCAUGAUGCCAUUAAUUUGGUGUNGUGGGGAAUCAGGACUGUUACUUUGAAAAAAUUAGAGUGUUUAAAGCAGGCACACGCUUGAAUACAUUAGCAUGGAAUAAUGAAAUAGGACGUUCGAUUCUAUUUUGUUGGUUUCUAGGAUCAACGUAAUGAUUAAUAGGGAUAGUUGGGGGCAUUAGUAUUCAAUUGUCAGAGGUGAAAUUCUUGGAUUUAUUGAAGACUAACUACUGCGAAAGCAUUUNCCAAGGAUGUUUUCAUUAAUCAAGAACGAAAGUUAGGGGAUCGAAGACGAUCAGAUACCGUCGUAGUCUUAACCAUA